GCCACCACGCCCGGCUAAUUUUUUUUGUAUUUUUAGUAGAGGCGGGGUUUCACCAUGUUAGCCAGGAUGGUCUCGAUCUCCUGACCUCGUGAUCCGCCCGCCUCGGCCUCCCAAAGUGCUGGGAUUACAAGCGUGAGCCACCGCGCCCGGCGAGACUGCCCUUUAUUCUCAGUAACAGGUGGAGCUGGGGGCUGGAAAGCCCCUCUGACCUCGCCUUUGGAAAGGUGGGUGUGCGCACGGAGCCUGGCAGGUGGCCAAGGGGACCCCCAAGUGGAGGGAUUGGUCGAGGGGCAGCACAGGGUGGUGCAGUGGGUGAGCCCAGCCCCUCCCCUCCCACUCUCAUCCCAUUGAGCCCCAGGGUGUGGGGGGAUCACAUCUGUGUCCUUGUUCUCCUCCAAGUGGAGCUGCUGGGUGGGGCUCUGGUCCUCCAGGGACCCACUGUGCACCCUAAGUUUUGCCGGGACCCGCUCCUCUGUGUUGUGUGGCUGUAGGGGAGGGCUGCAGCCAGGGACUCUGAACCUGGGGCCGACCCACCCAGCCACCCAGGCUGGGGAACAAGAUCGCCUCCCAGGGCCAGAAGUUGGGGAAGUCCUCGCUUCCUAGGAUGUUGGCUAGGGGAUCACACGCCCCACAUUGUGGGUCAAGCAUGGUCCUGUCCCAGCGUCUUGCUGGAUUGGGGGCAUCUCUGCACAGAUGAGUGCCACCCCAGCAUCUCUGCCAGGGUCUGGGCAUGUCACCCGUGGGCAUCUGUGCUCAGGAGGUCACCAGGUGUGGGCAGGGCACCAAGUGGGGAGGUAGCUGAGGCUGGAAGACGCACAUCCGUGCCCCGUGGGCUUCCUCAAGUGGGAACUGGUGGAGGGCGCUGGGCUUCCUCAAGUGGGAACUGGUGGAGGGCGCUGGGCUUCCUCAAGUGGGAACUGGUGGAGGGCGCUGGGCUGCUGGGUCAGGGUCAGCAGGCUCAGGCGGGCUCAGGGCUCAGAGUCGAGCCAGAAACCAAGGUGAAAUCUGCCUGUUGCUGCCGCCAGGGCCCUGGGACAGGGACAGGAACAGCAGAAGGUAAAGUGGAAAGGAAGUGAGUCAUGGGCCCCCAGGCAAGGCUGAGCCAGGCCCCAAGCCCAGGAUUGGGGUCUCCAGAAUCCCUGGGGACCCCAGGGCAGCUCACCCACAGCCUGGGGCCUAUGGGAGCAAGGGGGCUCCUGAUGGCUGGGGGCAGGAGCUUUGACAAAGUUGAAGGCCGUCUGUCUGAAUUGGCCAGGGGCCAAUGAAAGCCAAAAAGCUGGCGUGGUGGCUCAUGCCUGUAAUCCCACUUUGGGAGGCCAAGGCGGGUGGAUCACCUGAGGUCAGGAGUUCGAGACCAGCCUGGUCAACAUGGUGAAAUCCCGUCUCCACUAAAAAUAGCUGGGCGUGGUGGCGGUCACCUGUAAUCCCAGCCACUCGGGGGGCUGAGGCAGGAGAAUCACUUGAACCUGGGAGAUGGAGGUUGCAGAGAGCCAAGAUCGUAUCACUGCACUCCAGCCUGGGUGACAGAGCGAGAAUCUGUCUCAAAAGAAAAAAAAAAAAAAAAAUCCAAAAAGGCGAGUGGGGAGCAGGUGCUAGGCUGCAUGGGGGCCUACGCCUCAACCAGAGGACCCCAGCCCCCUGCCAACCCCUCCCCAGCUCAGGCCCACCGGCUUCCCUCUCACACAGCUGCUCUGGGAGGGAGGCCCUCCUUGCCAAUACCUGAGAGAAUGGGCAGCAGGGACCCUGGGGACAGGAUGGGGACCCCCAGGACAACAAGAAGAUGGGCUACACUAGGAGGCUGCUCUUGGGCCCCUGCGUCAGGCCAGCAGGACAGGCACCCAUCACACCACGGUCCACACACAGGCUCCUAUCACACCCUGCCCCGUCACAGCAGUGCCCAGAGGGACAUGGAGGCUCCCAGCUGAGGGCCAGCCCAAGUAGUCACAGGUGAGCAGUGAGAGGUGAGAGGCAAGGGGGCUUCCUGGUCUGGGUGGGCUCUGGCCCCCAAAACAUGUUGCUUAGGUCAAGCCAGUCUCCCCCAGCAGGGGUGAACAAUUUUCCCCCAGCCUGCCUGGCCCACCCUUUCUCCAGGGACGGUGCCCAGUGGGCCUCAUCUUCCCCAUGCCAGGUGUGAUGGUUAAUACUGUCAACUUGAUCGGAUUGAAGGAUACAAAGUAUUGAUCCUGGGUGUGUCUGUGAGGGUGUUGCCAAAAGAGAUUAACACAAGAGUCAGUGGGCUGCGGAAGGCAGACCCACCCUUCAUCUGGUGGGCACCAUCUAAUCAGCUGCCAGUGAAUAUAAAGCAGAAAAACGUGAAAAGGAGACUACGGGCCUCGCCUCCCAGCCUACAUCUUUCUCCCAUGCUGGACGCUUCCUGCCCUCGAACAUCGGACUCCAAGUUCAGCUUUGAGACUCGGGCUGGCUCUCCUUGCUCCUCAGCUUGCAGACGGCCUAUUGUGGGACCUUGUGAUCGUGUGAGUUAAUACUUAAUAAAUUCCCCUUCAUAUAUA